UUCAGACAAAUUUUUCUUUUAAAUAUUAUAUAGAAAAUAGAAGGAAAGGAAGGGAAGUGGAAGGAAAGACUCCUUAAUAAAAGUUUCACUUUCCUUUCCUCCCGAAAGGAAAGAAAAACCUAAAAUCUAUAGAAAAAUAUUAAGCGCUAAUUCACCGUCAAACCUCUCAAAUCCCGUCACAAACACACCCAAUCUUCUUAUAAAUAUUAUGUUCUUAUAAAUAUUAUGUUAUAAAUAUUAUGUUGCUUCACGCCUAACCCCCGUCACAAACACACUCGAGCUUCUGGGAUUUCAUUUUUCACACCUAACCCCGUCACGCGGGCAUAUCCCUCACGUUCCUUCUUCAACCUCUGCUUCACGCCUUCACCUCUGCAACAUCCUUUACGAAUCUCUUCGAUCGGUUGUGCACAACUGCAGGAUUGGUCUCAACUUGGAUCGGUUAAGGCCAGAGUUUUAAGCAAUUGCACAGUAUGAUGUGGUGAAGGCUUUUGGAUUGGUUCCUAAUCGGGAUUGCAGUUUGCAAGGCAUAACCUAGAAUUAACCACCGUAAGGAAAAUUGAUGUUGGUUGAUACCUGCAUUUGUUUUUAUUUUUUAUUUUUUAUUUUUAAUUUUCUCUUUUCUUCCUUCCUAAUAUUGUAUCAAACAUGUGAUUCCUAUCAUUUCCUUUCAAUCUAACCAAACAUGGGAAAAUAUGUUUCUUUUUUUGUGUUUUGUAAUGGUCACGAGGCUGACAUAUAUUUUGUUGUUGUAUGUCCUAUUGUCCUUAUUCAGAAUGUACUUUUGGUUGUUGAAUAUAAGAAUUCAGAAAGCAGGUGUAUUUUAUAUUCUUCUA